UUUUGUAUUUUUGUUUUUCAUUUGUUUGUUUUUCCCAUUUUUUCUCUUUGUGUGAGUUUGGCGGAUUUCUAUGCACUUGGAGCACACUAUUCUUUCCUUGGCUGAGUUGAGCCUAUUCCUGAGCCAAUGUUAGAAGUCCUCUUCUUUCUUAGUCUGUUUUUAUUCUCACAUUUCAUUUCCUUGGUUUAUAUCUUUGUGGUUAAAUUCCUCAUCUUUUCGUUCAUAUUGUUUGCCUUUUCCACUUGAACCUUAACACAAAUUCCUGUCUGAUGAUCCCUCCAUCUGAGUGCAUCUGAGUCUGGUUCUGAGAUUUCAUCUCUGGCCGUGUCUGUGCCAUACCAGGAGCCAGACGUGCAGUGCUGUCACGCCUGAGGUGAGGCGCACCAGUAGCUGGGAGCUGGCACUUCAGUCCGGACUUGUGGAACCCUUUCCUUUCAGACCAUCAUUGAUUCAGCCAUGCUAUUCAGCCCACUCAUCACCUGCCUGAGCGUAACAGACAAGCCUUAUUGCUCACACAAUGCCUGCCCAGCUGGUCUCUCCUCUCUGCAUCCCUAACCCAUUGGGAUUACAGGACCUAGAUGAAGAUGGAAGGAGGGGGCAGGGAAGAGGAAGACAGGCCAGAAUGAUGGUGCCACACCCAACUCCUCCAAGGGAAAAGCCAGGGCCAAUCAGAGAAGGAGCCCUUGCUCUAAAGGAAACCGGACACUGGGCACACGGCCUGGGCCCUGCUCUGUGUCGGGUGGCUGAUGUGCCGGACCCAAGCACUGGAAGAUCGCCUGUCCCGCUCCCAGAGAGGCCUGGGCCAGCCAGAGACUCACCGUCCACCCUGAUGCAGAGGACUGAAGGGCUGGGCGAUCUGCAGUGCUUCUGCCCAGACAUCUCCGCCUCCCGUGAGAAACCAUGGGACCCCUGGACAUCGUGGUUAAGCACGUUCCAUUAGGAAGUAGCUUUGUCUGUUUUAACUCCCUUCUCCAGAAAACCCUCCUCUAGAUCUACAGCCACAACUGGGGUUGAGGGGACAGCCGCUUUGACGGUCAAGUGUUCAAUCAGGAGUUUCCUUGCGGCAUGGUGGACUUCAGAGCGUGCCCGCUCAACUGAGACAGCUGUCAGAGCACCGGGCAUCCCUGGCAGUCUUGGGGGUCGUUGAACAAACUGUCUCUGGCUUUUGUUGCAGCCUGGCUUUCCAGUGAGCCCCCAAAAGCUCACUGUGUUGAAGGCGUGGUCCCCAAGGCAAGUGUCCAGAGGUGGGACUUUGGGGGUGUAUGGAUCAUGAGGGUGCUGGCCGCAGGUUCACAGCGGAACGGGCCGUGAGGGGCAGGGCCUGGCGGAAGAGUGUGGGUCUGGGGCGUGGCCUCGUGGGUGGGACUCGGUCUCCGCCUCCCCCUCCCCGGAUCUGCGGGCAGCCGAGCAGCUUUCCUCCUCUGCAGCUUGCCUCGUCUACACCUUUCUGCCAGCCUGCCUCUGCUCACCUCAGGCCCAGAGACGACAGAGCAGGCUGGCCCUGGACUGAACUUUUCCUGCUCUUAAGUUGUGUAUGGCAGGUACUUUGUCAUCGCAAUGAAAAGCUGACAGUUUUCAGCAGGUUUAAUCUCCUGUAAACAGGUGUGGAUUUCUUUGUGUUUGUUCUGAUUGGGAUUGAGCUAUCUCUGUGAUCUGUAAUUUAUCUCUGUUCGAUUUUGAAUAAUCUUUUAUUAUGUCGUCAAAUGUUGCCCCUGGCCCUUUUCCUCUUUUUCCGUUUUAUUUUAUUUGUUUAUUGUUUUGGUGCGGGGAUCGACCUGGGGUCCCGGGGCUCUGUUUGAGAAGUCUGUGCAGAGUGAGCCAC